rnacentral:rRNA from 2 species
UGGGGAAUAUUGGACAAUGGGCGCAAGCCUGAUCCAGCCAUGCCGCGUGAGUGAUGAAGGCCCUAGGGUUGUAAAGCUCUUUCACCGGAGAAGAUAAUGACGGUAUCCGGAGAAGAAGCCCCGGCUAACUUCGUGCCAGCAGCCGCGGUAAUACGAAGGGGGCUAGCGUUGUUCGGAAUUACUGGGCGUAAAGCGCACGUAGGCGGACAUUUAAGUCAGGGGUGAAAUCCCGGGGCUCAACCCCGGAACUGCCUUUGAUACUGGGUGUCUAGAGUGUGGAAGAGGUGAGUGGAAUUCCGAGUGUAGAGGUGAAAUUCGUAGAUAUUCGGAGAACACCAGUGGCGAAGGCGGCUCACUUGGUCCACUACUGACGCUGAGGUGCGAAAGCGUGGGGAGCAAACA